AUACGGAGGAUGCGAGCGUUAUCCGGAUUUAUUGGGUUUAAAGGGAGCGUAGGUGGGAUAUUAAGUCAGCUGUGAAAGUUUGGGGCUCAACCUUAAAAUUGCAGUUGAUACUGGUUUCCUUGAGUACGGUACAGGUGGGCGGAAUUCGUGGUGUAGCGGUGAAAUGCUUAGAUAUCACGAAGAACUCCGAUCGCGAAGGCAGCUCACCGGGCCGGAACUGACACUGAUGCUUGAAAGUGCGGGUAUCAAACAGGAUUAGAUACCCUGGUAGUCCGCACAGUAAACGAUGAAUACUCGCUGUUUGCGAUACACGGUAAGCGGCCAAGCGAAAGCGAUAAGUAUUCCACCUGGGGAGUACGCCGGCAACGGUGAAACUUAAAGGAAUUGACGGGG
rnacentral:rRNA from 1 species